rnacentral:rRNA from 1 species
GACGAACGCUGGCGGCGUGCUUAACACAUGCAAGUCGAACGGAAAGGCCCUGCUUUUGUGGGGUGCUCGAGUGGCGAACGGGUGAGUAACACGUGAGUAACCUGCCCUUGACUUUGGGAUAACUUCAGGAAACUGGGGCUAAUACCGGAUAGGAGCUCCUGCUGCAUGGUGGGGGUUGGAAAGUUUCGGCGGUUGGGGAUGGACUCGCGGCUUAUCAGCUUGUUGGUGGGGUAGUGGCUUACCAAGGCUUUGACGGGUAGCCGGCCUGAGAGGGUGACCGGCCACAUGGGGACUGAGAGACGGCCCAGACUCCUACGGGAGGCAGCAGUGGGGAAUAUUGCACAAUGGGCGGAAGCCUGAUGCAGCAACGCCGCGGGCGGGAUGACGGCCUGCGGGUUGUAAACCGCUUUCGCCUGUGACGAAGCGUGAGUGACGGUAAUGGGUAAAGAAGCACCGGCUAACUACGUG